rnacentral:tRNA from 1 species
GCGGGACUGGCGGAAUUGGUAGACGCGCUAGAUUCAGGUUCUAGUGCCCGUUUAGGGCUUCCGGGUUCAAGUCCCGGGUUCCGCACUA